UUGGCAGGCCCGUCUCCGGACCGCCGGCUUCGGCUGGCCCGUGCCUGCCAGAGGAUUCAAAACUCUGAUAAUCAUGUCGUCUGAGUACUAUUAUAAAUAGUUAAAACUUUCAACAACGGAUCUCUUGGUUCUGGCAUCGAUGAAGAACGCAGCGAAAUGCGAUAAGUAAUGUGAAUUGCAGAAUUCAGUGAAUCAUCGAAUCUUUGAACGCACAUUGCGCCCUCUGGUAUUCCGGGGGGCAUGCCUGUUCGAGCGUCAUUACAACCCUCAAGCUCUGCUUGGUGUUGGGCCUCGCCGGUUCCGGCGGGCCUCAAAAUCAGUGGCGGUGCCAUCUGGCUUCAAGCGUAGUAAUUCUUCUCGCUUCAGGAGACCCAGGUGUGUGCUUGCCAGCAACCCCCAACUUCUAUGGUUGACCUCGGAUCAGGUAGGGAUACCCGCUGAACUUAAGCAUAUCAAUAAGCGGAGGAAAAGAAACCAACAGGGAUUGCCUCAGUAACGGCGAGUGAAGCGGCAACAGCUCAAAUUUGAAAUCUGGCCUCACGGCCCGAGUUGUAAUUUGUAGAGGAUGCUUCGGAUGCGGUCCGGUCUAAGUUCCUUGGAACAGGACGUCAUAGAGGGUGAGAAUCCCGUAUGUGACUGGGUGCCAACUCCAUGUGAAGCUCCUUCGACGAGUCGAGUUGUUUGGGAAUGCAGCUCAAAAUGGGUGGUAAAUUUCAUCUAAAGCUAAAUACUGGCCAGAGACCGAUAGCGCACAAGUAGAGUGAUCGAAAGAUGAAAAGCACUUUGGAAAGAGAGUUAAACAGUACGUGAAAUUGUUGAAAGGGAAGCGCUUGCAACCAGACUUGCACGCAGCUGAUCAUCCGGUGUUCUCACCGGUGCACUUGGUUGCGUUCAGGCCAGCAUCAGUUUCGGUGGUUGGAUAAAGGCUCAGGGAAUGUGG
rnacentral:rRNA from 1 species